UACAGAGGGUGCUAGCGUUAAUCGGAAUUACUGGGCGUAAAGCGCAUGUAGGCGGACAUUUAAGUCAGGUGUGAAAGCCCCGGGCUCAACCUGGGAAUUGCAUUCGAUACUGAAUGUCUAGAGUAUGAUAGAGGAGAGUGGAACUUCCGGUGUAGCGGUGAAAUGCGUAGAUAUCGGAAAGAACACCAGUGGCGAAGGCGGCUCUCUGGAUCAAUACUGACGCUAAAGUGCGAAAGCGUGGGGAGCAAACAGG
rnacentral:rRNA from 1 species